rnacentral:rRNA from 1 species
UACGAAGGAUGCAAGCGUUGUCCGGAUUUAUUGGGCGUAAAGAGCUCGUAGGCGGUUCGAUAAGUCGGAUGUGAAAUCUCCACGCUCAACGUGGAGGGGUCAUCCGAUACUGUCGUGACUAGAGUCCGGUAGGGGAGUGUGGAAUUCCCGGUGUAGCGGUGAAAUGCGCAGAGAUCGGGAGGAACACCCGUAGCGAAGGCGGCACUCUGGGCCGGUACUGACGCUGAGGAGCGAAAGCGUGGGGAGCAAACAGG